rnacentral:rRNA from 1 species
GAUGAACGCUGGCGGCGUGCCUAAUACAUGCAAGUCGAGCGAACGGACGAGAAGCUUGCUUCUCUGAUGUUAGCGGCGGACGGGUGAGUAACACGUGGAUAACCUACCUAUAAGACUGGGAUAACUUCGGGAAACCGUAGCUAAUACCGGAUAAUAUUUUGAACCGCAUGGUUCAAAAGUGAAAGACGGUCUUGCUGUCACUUAUAGAUGGAUCCGCGCUGCAUUAGCUAGUUGGUAAGGUAACGGCUUACCAAGGCAACGAUGCAUAGCCGACCUGAGAGGGUGAUCGGCCACACUGGAACUGAGACACGGUCCAGACUCCUACGGGAGGCAGCAAUAGGGAAUCUUCCGCAAUGGGCGAAAGCCUGACGGAGCAACGCCGCGUGAGUGAUGAAGGUCUUCGGAUCGUAAAACUCUGUUAUUAGGGAAGAACAUAUGUGUAAGUAACUGUGCACAUCUUGACGGUACCUAAUCAGAAAGCCACGGCUAACUACGUGC